ACUCCUACGGGAGGCAGCAGUGGGGAAUAUUGCACAAUGGGCGCAAGCCUGAUGCAGCCAUGCCGCGUGUAUGAAGAAGGCCUUCGGGUUGUAAAGUACUUUCAGCAGUGAGGAAGGUGGGUAUGUUAAUAGCAUAUUCAUUUGACGUUAGCUGCAGAAGAAGCACCGGCUAACUCCGUGCCAGCAGCCGCGGUAAUACGGAGGGUGCGAGCGUUAAUCGGAAUUACUGGGCGUAAAGCGCAUGCAGGUGGUUUGUUAAGUCAGAUGUGAAAGCCCGGGGCUCAACCUCGGAAUUGCAUUUGAAACUGGCAAACUAGAGUACUGUAGAGGGGGGUAGAAUUUCAGGUGUAGCGGUGAAAUGCGUAGAGAUCUGAAGGAAUACCGGUGGCGAAGGCGGCCCCCUGGACAGAUACUGACACUCAGAUGCGAAAGCGUGGGGAGCAAACAGGAUUAGAUUCCCUGGUAGGCUCUGC
rnacentral:rRNA from 1 species